GAUGAACGCUAGCGGCAGGCUUAACACAUGCAAGUCGAACGGUCUCUUCGGAGGCAGUGGCAGACGGGUGAGUAACGCGUGGGAAUCUACCCAGUUCUACGGAACAACAGUUGGAAACGACUGCUAAUACCGUAUACGCCCUACGGGGGAAAGAUUUAUCGGAAUUGGAUGAGCCCGCGUAAGAUUAGCUAGUUGGUGGGGUAAUGGCCUACCAAGGCGACGAUCUUUAGCUGGUCUGAGAGGAUGAUCAGCCACACUGGGACUGAGACACGGCCCAGACUCCUACGGGAGGCAGCAGUGGGGAAUAUUGGACAAUGGGCGCAAGCCUGAUCCAGCCAUGCCGCGUGAGUGAUGAAGGCCUUAGGGUUGUAAAGCUCUUUCAGUGGGGACGAUAAUGACGGUACCCACAGAAGAAGCCCCGGCUAACUUCGUGCCAGCAGCCGCGGUAAGAC
rnacentral:rRNA from 1 species